GUGGUUCUGCUGUGCUGCCAGAGUUGGGUAUCACUGCCUCAGGAUCUUGACGCCAUUAAAAAAGGUAGCACCGGGGGCACCUGGGUGGCUCAGUCAGUUGGGCGUCUGACUUUGGCUCAGGUCAUGAUCUCGCAGUCCGUGAGUUCAAGCCCCAUGUCGGGCUCUGUGUUGACAGCUCAGAGCCUGGAGCCUGCUUCAGAUUCUGUCUCCCUCUCUCUGCCCCUUCCCUGCUCUCUCUGUCUCUCUGUCUCUCUGUCUCUCUCUCUCUCUCAAAAAAAAAAAAAAAAAAAAAACAACAACAUUAUAUAUAUAUAUAUGUAAAAAGGCAGCACCCAUGGAGAACAGUAACACCUAAAUGUGUGAUCGGUUCCUUUUACGUCCCAUUGAUCCCAAGGAGAAGCGAAAUAGCCAGGACAAUGGGUGUCUGGGCAACUGUUGGAAAGUGCAGAGAAAAAGAAAAAAGACAGGCUUCAUCUACAAAAUGAACUGCUUUUCUGCUUCAGUCAAAUCUGAUGAUCCGGACUCUAAGUUGUUUACUAGCGAAGCAAUAAAACUUUAUCAGGAAAUAUUUGUUGGAGCUGCUGGCCGACUGACAGAGUUAAUGUGCUGCUUGGAUACGACCAGCACUGAUGUCGUUUGUCCGUGUCACCCUGUCCCAAGGUUUGCCAACCGCCAUUGCUGCUGUUCUGGAGUAACUUGGAGCUGGAACUCAAGAUGCCGACUGGGGUCUGGCAAUUGCCAAAGAGGAAGCAUUUGGGGAGCUCAAAUUAGGGGAGCCAGCCGGUGGAGGGGAAGGGAACUCCCCCCAGAAGAGCCGCGUCCGAUGGCAGAUCCUGCAAAAAGUAGUUCUGUGGCUUCCACAAUUACUCUAGGACCAGAAUCAGCUGCCUGA
rnacentral:lncRNA from 1 species